AUAAAGCACUUUGUAGUAGAAUUGUAUAAGUAUCAGACUGUGAAAAUACAUAAACUUAAAGACUAUACACCUGAAAGUCAUGGAGGUG